rnacentral:rRNA from 1 species
GAUGAACGCUAGCGGCAGGCCUAAUACAUGCAAGACGAACGGUAAGAUUUUUAGCAAUAGAGAUCCUAGAGUGUCGUAAGGGUGCGUAACACGUAUGCAAUCUGCCCUCAACAGGAGAAUAGCUCCCCGAAAGGGGAAUUAACACUCCGUAAGAUUGUGGUUCGGCAUCGGACAGCAAUUAAAACUGAGGUGGUUGAGGAUGAGCAUGCGCAUGAUUAGUUAGUUGGCGGGGUAACGGCCCACCAAGACGAUGAUCAUUAGGGGAACUGAGGGGUUGAUACCGCACAGUGGCACUGAGAUACGGGCCAGACUCCUACGGGAGGCAGCAGUAGGGAAUAUUGGACAAUGGGUGCGAGCCUGAUCCAGCCAUGCCGCGUGCAGGAAGACGGCCUUCUGGGUUGUAGACUGCUUUUGCCAGGGGAUAAAACGGCUCUGCGGAGCUAAUUGAAGGUACCUGGUGAAUAAGCCACGGCUAACUACGUGCCAGCCGCCGCGGUAAAAC